UACGUAGGCAGCGAGCGUUGUUCGGAAUUACUGGGCGUAAAGAGUGUGUAGGCGGUUCUCUAAGUUCGGUGUGAAAUCUCCUGGCUUAACUGGGAGGGUGCGCCGGAAACUGGAGUGCUCGAGCGUGGGAGAGGAAAGCGGAAUUCCUGGUGUAGCGGUGAAAUGCGUAGAUAUCAGGAGGAACACCUGCGGUGUAGACGGCUUUCUGGACCAUUGCUGACGCUGAGACACGAAAGCGUGGGUAGCAAACAGG
rnacentral:rRNA from 1 species